rnacentral:tRNA from 1 species
CAUUAUGAAGCUAAUYUAGCAUUAACCUUUUAAGUUAAAGACUAGGAGUCCGAACCUCCUCAUAAUGAC